GGCAUCCCCAUCCCAGCUUCCUCUGGCACUGGUCUGAGGCCAGGGUGGGCAGAGAGGAAGAGAAAGAACUUUCUGUAGCCAAACAGUCACUUUUCAAACCACCUUCCUAGUUCCCCGAACAGCUCGAAAAAUGAGGGCCUGUGAGAGAAUAGACACGGUGCGUGCAGCCACAGGGAGGGCGUUGCUAAGGGCUGUGGGAAACAGGAACUGCGUGUCACUCUGUGCCAGUUACACCUCUAGGGAAAGAGACAGAAACAGGGGUGGGGGCAGUGUGGAAGGAGGGAGACAGGAACAAUGCAGAGGGCAGGAGAGGGACAGAAAGGUGAAGAUGGAAAGAUACAUGAAGACUCAGAGAGAAAAAGAGACAGAGGCAAGGGGAGACAGACAGAAACUUACCCAGAAAGGACACUCCAACAGACAGCGUCUUUUCCUCAAGCCUGGUACCAAGCCAGAGGGCCGGUGGUAUGGACAGACUAAGAGAGGACGGCGUCUGUGCCCAGCUUGCCGGCCCUGUGCCCUCUGAGGGUGCCUCCAACUGGCUCCAGGCCUGCUUCCUGCACAGCUCCACACUGGUCCCCACCCCACCCCUCAGUGCCCUUGCCCCGUCCCCUCAUCUGUAAGAUCCUGGGAUUUGCAGGGACACUUAAUCCAUAUGGAGCUGAUUCAUUCCCAUCUAAAUCAUCUCCGUGAGCUUCCCUAAGAGCCCUCUGAGGUGCCGGCCGCCAUCCCUCUCUCCCGGCCAUGGCGGCCUGGCGGCUGCCAGUAAGCAAACCUCAGCCGCCGUCCAUCCAUCCUGGCGUCGUCCAUCAGUCUGGCUGAGAUAAUUCAUCUCCAACCCUGCUCCCCAGCUCUUCCAGUCCCUCCAUCCGUUUUGUCUAUCUGUCUGUGUGUCCCCUUCUCACGUCCCUCUAGGAGAACCUCCCUCUCUCUGCCUUGUCCCGGGUAGGAUCUUGAGGGAUCAUCUCAGCCACCCCCCUGCCUGCAGACAGGAGCCUCACCUCAUGCCUGGCGCUGCAAGACGGGGCCCCUCCUGGUUCACCGCCUUCCAGGAAGAGAGGCCUUCUGAUACUUUUACGGGAAAGCUUAGUUCACUGUUUAGGAUGAAAAAUAACAACCAUAUGAACGAAAGCAGGAUCAUCAGAAAUGAUAAAUAAUACUCUCCAGAUGUGGUGAUGGAGAACUCAUCUGAGGGAGCGCCGCCUCCAGCUAGCCACCUUGCG
rnacentral:lncRNA from 1 species